UCUUGCAAAGAUUAGCCUUUUAUG
rnacentral:snRNA from 1 species